UCCCCCAGCACUGGGCAAGGAAACACCCGAUUGGUGGUGUUGCUCUUAUAUCAAUCAGGGGCAAAGCAGAUGGACAGCCCUUGGUUCAUCCUAGCUUGAUGCCCGUGUUGGUGGCCAGAGCUGUUUCAUGCCUGAGGCACAUAA
rnacentral:snoRNA from 1 species